rnacentral:rRNA from 1 species
UACGUAGGGAGCGGGCGUUGGCCGGAUUCAUUGGGCGUAAAGAGCUCGUAGGCGGCUUGAUAAGUCGGAUGUGAAACCUCCAGGCUCAACCUGGAGUCGCCAUCCGAUACUGUCAUAGCUAGAGUCCGGUAGGCGCCCACGGAACUCCUGGUGUAGCGGUGAAAUGCGCAGAUAUCAGGAAGAACGCCAGUGGCGAAGGCGGUGGGCUGGGCCGGUACUGACGCUGAGGAGCGAAAGCGUGGGGAGCGAACAGG